CAACGUGGGUAAUCUGCCCUAGAGUGGGAAUAACAUCGGGAAACCGAUGCUAAUACCGCAUACGAUCACGAGGUCUUCGGAUUUUGUGAUGAAAGGAGCAAUCCGCUCUUGGAGGAGCCCGCGGCUGAUUAGCUAGUUGGUAAGGUAAUGGCUUACCAAGGCAACGAUCAGUAUCCGGUCUGAGAGGACGGUCGGACACACUGGAACUGAGACACGGUCCAG
rnacentral:rRNA from 1 species